CAAUAGCGUAUAUUAAAGUUGUUGCAGUUAAAAAGCUCGUAGUUGGAUUUCUGUCCAUUUACCUCUUCCAGCCUCUGGUUUGUGAAGUUGUUGAGUGGGCUUCUCCUACGGUUGGUAUCAUAUUUACUUAUGGUAUUAAGCGUGGGAACUUUACUUUGAGAAAAUUAGAGUGUUUCAAGCAAGCGAUUGUUUUGAAUACUGCAGCAUGGAAUAAUAUCAUAGGACUUCGGUUCUAUUGUUGGUUUUAGGACCGCAGUAAUGAUUAAUAGGGACAGUUGGGGGCACUCGUAUUUAACUGUCAGAGGUGAAAUUCUUGGAUUUGUUAAAGACGAACUACUGCGAAAGCAUUUGCCAAGGAUGUUUUCAUUAA
rnacentral:rRNA from 1 species